rnacentral:lncRNA from 10 species
CAUGAAUGCAUCUCGGGAAGGAGUUCCCCAGGCUGAGGGAGCUGCACCUGAGGAAACCCAGGAGGCAAAGGUGGUCCUGGUCAGGAUGAUGAGGAGGUCCGUGUGGCUGGAGCAGGUGAGCUAGGUGGAGAGAGGCCGUAGAUGAGGGCAGAGCUGCUGCGGGAGCCAAACGUGUAAGGAUCUUUUCGGGCAGUGAGAGGACGUUGGUUUCUCACAGCAGAGAAGGGACAUCAUCUGACAUAUUUUAAAAGUAUCUCUCCGGCUCCCUUGUGGACUGUAAGGGACCAAGAGUUGAAACAGGCACCCAGGAGGAGUCCUUCCAGCAACUGAGAGGACUUGGUCCGAUUCUACCUCCGGAACAAUGCUCAGCCCACAGCCCUCAUUCCCUCCGUGAUGAACAGUAACUGUGGACUUUUGACCUUCCUCUUGAGCUUGGUCUGAGUCUUGGCAUUUACAACCACGGCUCUAGUUAAGAAACGUCAACAUGGC